AAAAGACAGGCUAGGUCUCAGUGGUGACACGCAAUUUAGUUGGUGGCGCAUUGGCGGUGCAAGGAAUGGUUAAUAUUUGUUUUACUCGUCCGCCUAUUAUAAAGAAGCUGGCUUCAAGUCAUGAACCGCUGGAUGAAGAGACUUUACACGUCCUCCGAGCAUUUCCGGAGCUCCAGUGAUAUCGGAAACAUCCUGAACUUUGAAACCAGCAUUGCGAAGUGCUGAAGCUGUACCUCCGCUACCAACUAAUCCAAGG